rnacentral:rRNA from 1 species
UACAGAGGUCUCAAGCGUUGUUCGGAUUCAUUGGGCGUAAAGGGCGCGUAGGCGGGAUGGCAAGUCGGUCGUGAAAUCCCUCGGCUCAACUGAGGAUCGUCGAUCGAUACUGCCGUUCUUGAGGAUUGCAGAGGAGACUGGAAUUCCCGGUGUAGCGGUGAAAUGUGUAGAGAUCUGGAGGAACACCGGUGGCGAAGGCGACAUCCUGGACCGGUAUUGACGCUGAGGCGCGAAAGCCAGGGGAGCAAACGGG